rnacentral:rRNA from 1 species
GACGAACGCUGGCGGCAUGCCUAACACAUGCCAGUCGAACGGACAGAACAGGGCAGCUUUUCGGCGUGGACCUGGAAAGUUGGAAGCGGCUGGUUGGGUAACGCUUAGACAACCUACCUUGUAAAGAGGAAUAACCUCGAGAAAUCGAAGCUAAUACCCCAUAAUAACCUUGCUUCGCGUGAAGUAAGGUGGAAGGGCGGCCUUAACGCUGUCAAUACAACAUUGGUCCGCGUCUGAUUAGCUAGUUUGUGCGGGAAAGGCACACCAAGGCGGCGAACAGUAGCGCGCCCGAGAGGGUGAACGGCCACAUUGGGACUGAGAAAGGGCCCAAACUCCUACGGGAGGCAGCAGUGGGGAAUCUUACGCAAGGGGGGAAAGCCGGACGGAGCAAUGCCGGGGGAGUGAAGAAGGAGUUCGGGUUGGAAAACUCUGUAGGUAUCGAAGAGAGAGUGUUGUAGUAACUGAGAAGAUUAUGACGGUAGAGGAGGAGGAAGCCCCGGCUAACUAUGUG